rnacentral:rRNA from 1 species
UACGUAGGGUGCAAGCGUUAAUCGGGAUUACUGGGCGUAAAGCGUGCGCAGGCGGUUGUGCAAGACAGAUGUGAAAUCCCCGGGCUUAACCUGGGAAUGGCAUUUGUGACUGCACGGCUAGAGUGUGUCAGAGGGGGGUAGAAUUCCACGUGUAGCAGUGAAAUGCGUAGAUAUGUGGAGGAAUACCGAUGGCGAAGGCAGCCCCCUGGGAUAACACUGACGCUCAUGCACGAAAGCGUGGGGAGCAAACAGG